rnacentral:rRNA from 1 species
AUUGAACGCUGGCGGCAUGCCUUACACAUGCAAGUCGAACGGCAGCACGGGUGCUUGCACCUGGUGGCGAGUGGCGCACGGGUGAGUAAUACAUCGGAACAUGUCCUGUAGGGGGGGAAAGCCCGGCGAAAGCCGGAUUAAUACCGCAUACGAUCUACGGAUGAAAGCGGGGGACUUUCGGGCCUCGCGCUAUGGGGUUGGCCGAUGGCGGAUUAGCUAGUUGGUGGGGUAAAGGCCUACCAAGGCGACGAUCAGCAGCUGGUCUGAGAGGACGACCAGCCACACUGGGACUGAGACACGGCCCAGACUCCUACGGGAGGCAGCAGUGGGGAAUUUUGGACAAUGGGCGAAAGCCUGAUCCAGCAAUGCCGCGUGUGUGAAGAAGGCCUUCGGGUUGUAAAGCACUUUUGGCCGGAAAGAAAGCCUUGGCCCUAAUACGGUCGGGGGAUGACGGUACCGGAAGAAUAAGCACCGGCUAACUACGUG